UUCGGGUGAACUGUGGUUAAGGAACUCGGCAAAUUGCCCCCGUAACUUCGGGAGAAGGGGGGCCUCCGCUGGUGAUCAGACUUGCUUUGUGAGCUGGUGGGGGUCGCAGAGGCCAGGGGGAAGCGACUGUUUACUAAAAACACAGGUCCGUGCGAAGUCGUAAGACGAUGUAUACGGACUGACGCCUGCCCGGUGCUGGAACGUUAAGGGGACCGGUUAGCGCAUUUCGGUGUGCGAGGCUGAGAACUUAAGCGCCAGUAAACGGCGGUGGUAACUAUAACCAUCCUAAGGUAGCGAAAUUCCUUGUCGGGUAAGUUCCGACCUGCACGAAUGGCGUAACGACUUCCCCGCUGUCUCAACCGCAGACCCGGCGAAAUUGCACUACGAGUAAAGAUGCUCGUUACGCGCAGCAGGACGGAAAGACCCCGGGACCUUCACUACAGCUUGACAUUGGCGUUUGGAACGUCUUGUGUAGGAUAGGUGGGAGACUGUGAAGCUGUCACGCUAGUGGCGGUGGAGUCAUUGGUGAAAUACCACUCUGGUCGUUUUGAACGUCUAACUUCGGUCCGUGAUCCGGAUCAGGGACAGUGUCUGGUGGGUAGUUUAACUGGGGCGGUUGCCUCCUAAAGAGUAACGGAGGCGCCCAAAGGUUCCCUCAGCCUGGUUGGUAAUCAGGUGUCGAGUGUAAGUGCACAAGGGAGCUUGACUGUGAGACCGACGGGUCGAGCAGGAGCGAAAGCUGGGACUAGUGAUCCGGCGGUGGCAUGUGGAAGCGCCGUCGCUCAACGGCUAAAAGGUACCCCGGGGAUAACAGGCUGAUCUUCCCCAAGAGUCCAUAUCGACGGGAUGGUUUGGCACCUCGAUGUCGGCUCGUCGCAUCCUGGGGCUGGAGUAGGUCCCAAGGGUUGGGCUGUUCGCCCAUUAAAGCGGUACGCGAGCUGGGUUUAGAACGUCGCGAGACAGUUCGGUCCCUAUCCGCUGCGCGCGCAGGAGACUUGAAAGGAGCUGUCCCUAGUACGAGAGGACCGGGACGGACGAACCUCUGGUGUGCCAGUUGUUCCGCCAGGAGCAUGGCUGGUUGGCUACGUUCGGAAGGGAUAACCGCUGAAAGCAUCUAAGCGGGAAGCUCGCCUUGAGAUGAGGUCUCCCACCACGAAAGUGGGUAAGGCCCCCGGGAGACGACCGGGUUGAUAGGCCGGAGGUGGAAGCAUGGUAACGUGUGGAGCUGACCGGUACUAAUAGGCCGAGGACUUGACCG
rnacentral:rRNA from 1 species